UACGAAGGUCCCGAGCGUUGUUCGGAAUCACUGGGCGUAAAGGGGAGCGUAGGCGGCGCGGUAAGUCAGAUGUGAAAUCCCGGGGCUCAACCCCGGAACUGCAUCCGAUACUGCCGUGCUAGAGGAUUGGGAGAGGUAGCUGGAAUUCUUGGUGUAGCAGUGAAAUGCGUGGAGAUCAAGAGGAACACUCGUGGCGAAAGCGAGCUACUGGACAAUAUCUGACGCUGAGGCUCGAAGGCCAGGGUAGCGAAAAGGG
rnacentral:rRNA from 1 species